rnacentral:rRNA from 1 species
UACGUAGGUGGCGAGCGUUGUCCGGAAUCAUUGGGCGUAAAGCGCGCGUAGGCGGCCCAGUAAGUCCGUUGUAAAAGUCAAAGGCUCAACCUUUGAAAGCCGAUGGAUACUGCUGGGCUAGAGUCCGGAAGAGGCGAGUGGAAUUCCUGGUGUAGCGGUGGAAUGCGCAGAUAUCAGGAGGAACACCGAUAGCGAAGGCAGCUCGCUGGGACGGUACUGACGCUGAGGCGCGAAAGCCAGGGGAGCGAACGGG